UUUUCGGCAUUUGUCUAACCACCACAAUGACUUUCACCGGUGGCAUAGAACAAACAUCUGCAUCCGGCAUUGAUUUCUACGAUGACUCAGAAAUUUUGGGACCUUCAUCAUUGUACACCAACUCUCAACAUCAAUGGGCAGUAAGCAACACAGGCUUUUACAUCUCUAACCCCAAUGGCCCUCAAUACAUAGCAACGAUAGAUUCUCAAAUCCUGGGGACUUUAGAGUUAGAGCUAUAUAAAACAGCAAGGAUUUCACCAAACUCAUUAAGGUAUUAUGGCCUUGGUUUGAAGAAUGGGAAAUACAUCGUCGAACUCCACUUUGUAGAGAUAGUCAUGGAUGAUUCACAGUCUUGGAAAGGUCUUGGGAGGCGCAUAUUCGAUGUCUACAUCCAGGGGGAGAAAGUACUGCAAGAUUUUAACAUCCAAGAUGAAGCUAAGGGCUCCAAAAGAGUUGUCAUAAAAAUGUGACAGAUAGCCAUGGAGAUCCACUUCUUUUGGGCUGGAAAAGGGACCUGCUGCAUUCCAUUUCAAGCAACUUUCGGUCCGUUGGUGUCAGCCAUACAUGUUUCUCUAGAGUCGUCUAGUGGUGGUUCGCCCUCGAAUAAUUACAGAAGAUACACAGGAGAAGUUAUUGGUAUAGCUGUCGGAUGUGUAGGUGGACUACUGAUACUCGCAUCCAUUUUUUUUCUAUGGUGGAUGAAGGAUGCACCUGGCCAUAUGCGAGUGUGCACAGACUCACCAAGAAAAGGAUAA